CAGCAGCCGCGGUAAUACGGAGGGUGCAAGCGUUAUCCGGAUUCACUGGGUUUAAAGGGUGCGUAGGAGGGCAGGUAAGUCCGUGGUGAAAUCUCUGAGCUUAACUCAGAAACUGCCGUGGAUACUACCGGUCUUGAAUACCGUGGAGGUGAGCGGAAUAUGUCAUGUAGCGGUGAAAUGCUUAGAUAUGACAUAGAACACCAAUUGCGAAGGCAGCUCACUACCCGAAUAUUGACUCUGAGGCACGAAAGCGUGGGGAUCAAACAGGAUUAGAUACCCUGGUAGUCCACGCCCUAAACUA
rnacentral:rRNA from 1 species